UACAGAGGUCUCAAGCGUUGUUCGGAUUCAUUGGGCGUAAAGGGUGCGUAGGUGGCGGGGUAAGUCAGGUGUGAAAUCUCGGAGCUCAACUCCGAAACUGCACUUGAUACUGCCUUGCUCGAGUACUGGAGAGGAGAUUGGAAUUUACGGUGUAGCAGUGAAAUGCGUAGAUAUCGGGAGGAACAUCAGUGGCGAAGGCGGCUACCUGGCCCAAUACUGACACUCAGGUGCGACAGCGUGGGGAGCAAACAGG
rnacentral:rRNA from 1 species